rnacentral:rRNA from 1 species
UACGAAGGGGGCUAGCGUUGUUCGGAAUUACUGGGCGUAAAGCGCGCGCAGGCGGUCUUCCAAGUUAGUGGUGAAAGCCCCGGAGCUCAACUCCGGAAUUGCCAUUGAAAUUGUUAGACUUGAGGAUGAGAGAGGUGAGUGGAAUUCCCAGUGUAGAGGUGAAAUUCGUAGAUAUUGGGAGGAACACCGGUGGCGAAGGCGGCGACCUGGUCCUUGACUGACGCUGAGGCGCGAAAGCGUGGGGAGCAAACAGG